rnacentral:rRNA from 1 species
CGGACCGGCGCACGGUGAGUAACGCGUAUGCAACUUACCUAUCAGAGGGGGAUAACCCGGCGAAAGUUGGACUAAUACCGCAUAAAGCAGGGAUCCCGCAUGGGAAUAUUUGCUAAAGAUUCAUCGCUGAUAGAUAGGCAUGCGUUCCAUUAGGCAGUUGGCGGGGUAACGGCCCACCAAACCGACGAUGGAUAGGGGUUCUGAGAGGAAGGUCCCCCACAUUGGUACUGAGACACGGACCAA